UCCCUGGUGGCUCAGAUGGUAAAGAAUCUGCCUGCAAUGCAGAAGACCAGGGAUCAAUCCCUGGUUUGGGAA
rnacentral:tRNA from 1 species